AUUGAACGCUGGCGGAAUGCUUUACACAUGCAAGUCGAACGGCAGCACGGACUUCGGUCUGGUGGCGAGUGGCGAACGGGUGAGUAACAUAUCGGAACGUAUCCAAUAAUGGGGGAUAACUAAUCGAAAGGUUGGCUAAUACCGCAUACGCCCUACGGGGGAAAGCAGGGGAUCUUCGGACCUUGCGUUAAUGGAGCGGCUGAUAUCUGAUUAGCUAGUUUGUGAGGUAAAGGCUCACCAAGGCGACGAUCAGUAGCUGGUCUGAGAGGACGACCAGCCACACUGGAACUGAGACACGGUCCAGACUCCUACGGGAGGCAGCAGUGGGGAAUUUUGGACAAUGGGCGCAAGCCUGAUCCAGCCAUUCCGCGUGAGUGAAGAAGGCCUUCGGAGUGUAAAGCUCUUUCGCAAGGGAAGAAAACUUACUUUCUAAUAAAGAGUGAGGUUGACGGUACCUUGAUAAGAAGCACCGGCUAACUACGUGCCAGCCGCCGCAGUAA
rnacentral:rRNA from 1 species